rnacentral:rRNA from 1 species
ACGAACGCUGGCUGCGUGCUUCACACAUGCAAGUCGAACGGAAAGGCCCUGCUUUUGUGGGGUGCUCGAGUGGCGAACGGGUGAGUAACACGUGAGUAACCUGCCCUUGACUUUGGGAUAACUUCAGGAAACUGGGGCUAAUACCGGAUAGGAGCUCCUGCUGCAUGGUGGGGGUUGGAAAGUUUCGGCGGUUGGGGAUGGACUCGCGGCUUAUCAGCUUGUUGGUGGGGUAGUGGCUUACCAAGGCUUUGACGGGUAGCCGGCCUGAGAGGGUGACCGGCCACAUUGGGACUGAGAUACGGCCCAGACUCCUACGGGAGGCAGCAGUGGGGAAUAUUGCACAAUGGGCGGAAGCCUGAUGCAGCAACGCCGCGUGCGGGAUGACGGCCUUCGGGUUGUAAACCGCUUUCGCCUGUGACGAAGCGUGAGUGACGGUAAUGGGUAAAGAAGCACCGGCUAACUACGUG